UCAAAACAGCGGACUUCGGUCUUUGCUGCACCCUUGUCUUUUGCGCACCGAAUUGUUUCCUCGGCGGGCUUGCCUGCCGGCUGGACAUUAUCAAAACCUUUUUGUAGUUGCAAUCAGCGUCAGAAAAAUCAUAAUUAUUA
rnacentral:misc_RNA from 1 species